UAUUUUUACAUAUCUACGAUCACAUAAAAACGAGAUUAACUCAUGCAAUAUGCAGGCAGACAACAAAUAGCUAAUCAAACACCGCAACUUUGCCAGUUUGCACAAGCUAGCAACAGAAUAUCAUAUCUGCUGGAUAAAUUCCCCCUUCCAUCCUCUCACUUGACUUCGCACUGCAAAGAAUCCAGACCAAUUAAGAUAAAACAGCAGACUUCUUUGAUUUCCUGCUCGCGUAAAUCUUUGAAUAUAAGCUCCUGGUUCUGAUCGAUAACAAGACAUCUAAUCCGAAUCCAACGAUACAUGCUAUAGCCAUAACUAUGAACACAAGCCUGUAACAAUGAGCACCUAUACAUGUGUUG
rnacentral:misc_RNA from 1 species